rnacentral:misc_RNA from 1 species
UGAAGUUUGGUGGAUUAAGUGGCCUGUGAAAAGGAGCAGAGAUGAAUAAUGAGCACAAGUUCAUAUAUGUUGAGAAGUAAUCCAACAUUCACUAACAUACAACUUCAUGAAGACAACUAAUAAUAAGUUUUGACUCAGGGCUAAACCUGAAGAUCAGCACUCCUAAAUUUCAGCGCGGUAGAUUGAAAAAAUUAUAAUUAUCAAGCUUAUUAAAAUUGUGGAACAUAUAAAUAAGCCAUUACAGAAGAUUACACUGAUGAGCCAUUUUAUGAGCAAAAAAGCAACAAUAAUAAUCCAUUUGAUAUUGGUCAAAGUGUCUUAUUAACAGCAAAGUGUUGCAUCUUAUGGCCAAACAUAAUUAAGCAGCAAACCGUUAAGGUUUGUGUUCCACCAACAGAAGUUUUUCUAAAGUUUCAAUUGAAAACCUCAGUCAAGGCUACCUUUGCUGACACAAUAUCACUAUUUAUACCAAUUUACCAAAAGCAGCCAAGUAUUGCUUGAGGUUUGAUGGUUGAACAUCCAGUUAAUCUUCAAUGAUAUGGCAAUAAUCACUUAACCAGGAUAAGAAAAGAAGCACCAUUCAAUAUUUGCAAUAUUCUGUCUAUUAAGUUCGCCUAAAAACAUCGAAAUUUCUGCAUACCAUUGAUUAUGUCCUUCCACGGGUUUGCCAAGCUCUCCAUACAG